rnacentral:rRNA from 1 species
UACGUAGGGGGCAAGCGUUAUCCGGAUUUACUGGGUGUAAAGGGAGCGUAGACGGCGGGGCAAGUCUGGAGUGAAAGGCCGGGGCCCAACCCCGGGACCGCUCUGGAAACUGCCCGGCUGGAGUGCGGGAGAGGUAAGCGGAAUUCCUAGUGUAGCGGUGAAAUGCGUAGAUAUUAGGAGGAACACCAGUGGCGAAGGCGGUCUGCUGGACAGCAACUGACGCUGAGGCGCGAAAGCGUGGGGAGCAAACAGG